CAGAUGAAAAGAACCAAAGAAUUUAAGAUUUUGCCCUGAAGUUAAAGGAUGUGGGUGUUUUGACCCAGCAGCUUCUGGUUUGUUGAAACCAUGAGAAAAAUUUUGAGCAAGAUUGAAAAGUUACACCCUAGAGACAACAUUGAAGCCUGGGCCAUUCUUGCUGUGUGCAUAUACAUAACACCAUCAAAAGCUGCCAGCUUUGCCCCAAAAAGGAAAUGAACCUCUGGUACUGAAUUGUGUUGCAGUGCAUUGUAUUUCAUCUGUUAAUCUCAAACUGCCCCGAGAAUGGCUCAGUGUGUCAGGAGAGGCUUUCCUGGUGCUUCAGAUCUG